rnacentral:rRNA from 1 species
AAGGGGCUUCGGCCCUGAGUAGAGUGGCGAACGGGUGAGUAACACGUGGGUGAUCUACCUUCGAGUGGGGGAUAACGUUCCGAAAGGAACGCUAAUACCGCAUGACGUUCCGGGUUUAAAGACCUGGAAACCAAAGCCGGGGACCGCAAGGCCUGGCGCUUGGAGAGGAGCCCGCGUCCGAUUAGCUAGUUGGCGGGGUAAUGGCCCACCAAGGCGACGAUCGGUAGCCGGCCUGAGAGGGCGGACGGCCACACUGGAACUGAGACACGGUCCAGACUCCUACGGGAGGCAGCAGUGGGGAAUUGUUCACAAUGGGCGCAAGCCUGAUGACGCAACGCCGCGUGGGGGAUGAAGGUCUUCGGA